CACGAGAGAGAGAGAGAGCGAGCUGGGAGUUCUCUGCGUCUGACCCGAAACCCGCAAGGAGGACCCGGCCGGCGCUCUACAGUCCGGCCACCCCACGACGGCGUACAUGCACCAUUUCCUUUGCCUCUGCGUCGCCUACCUCCCUGUAUCCUCAAAUUGUCCAUGCAUCAACGGUGAACGGAGAAGCAACGACUGGAAGCUCUGAGACUUCUCCGGCAACCUCUGCAAUUACCGGCGCCUCCGGCCACCAUCUGAGCUGUCUGGGGCAGCUGUCCUACCCGUCGUGGUUCGUCUUCAACAGAAAUUCUGGCUCUAGAACUCAAAGGAGUAAUUGUUCCAUCCCAAUUUGCUAGUUGGGUUGAGUUGAUUAGACUGGGUAAGCUUCGAUCACGAUGUCACCGUUCAUGGUGGCAGCUUCGAUUUUCUUUAGAAAUCUCUCGGUUUUGAUUUGUGCAGUGAGUUGCUGUUGAAGCGUUGUUAUGCUCUUGAACACAGAACUUACAGGGUUUGUAAGAUAGUGAGAGAAGUGGGAGAAUCAUGGUUGCCGUGUUCUUCGUCAGUAGCAUUGCUCCUGCGAAUUAUACCAUUGAAGGUAAAAACUUGAAGUUCUGUUCCUAGGCACUUUUGGACAGGUUGGAUGGGUUGUGGUGUUUCGAUUCGAAUGGAUUGUGAUUUCCAAGCUUGUACUAUGGCAGUGUGUCAAAUGGUGAUUUUGUUAAUUUUGUGUUCCAGAUUAGUACUUGGUAUUAGUUUUGAAUUGAAAUUAGGUGGUGGAUUGAGGUUGUUUAUGGUUGCCUUGCUAAGGUGGCUAGGGCAGGUUGUUCGAGAUGGUUGUAAAAAGUUUAAGAAUUGGUUGAGUUGAUCUUGGGUGUCCUUGGUGGUUUUGGGCACACCUUGAGUGAAAAUUGGAAUGAACUGGGUGUCCAUAGUAAAGUCCGUCGAAUUACUAUGCGACGAAAUUUUUAAGUA